rnacentral:lncRNA from 1 species
CUCAUAUACCAUUCUGUGUUACUGGUAUUUUUGUAUUUGAAUUGUCUUCUUAUCUAGAAGGUGAGUUCUGAGAGUGCAGGGAUCUUAUCUUAUCUUCAUUCAUUCAUUCAUUCAUUCUUUCUUUCCUGCACUCACUCCAUAAAGACCAUUGAGAUUCCACUGUGUUUGUUCAAUUAAAGCUUGCUGAAAGAAUACCUCAGUGAAAUGCCCCCUGCCCAGGUAGCCUGUGCUCCUCCUGUAUCUUCUUCAUUCAAUCCUCCCUGCUCUUUCAUCCAGUUUACAGAAUCAGACCCUCCACACACUGGCUUUUAGAGCUAGGGUCAGGUGUGGGUGGCCAAGCAGCAUCUGAUAUGAGCAAAGGUGGCCCUGCUCUUCUCUGACCUCUUUACAGACCCCAAGUGCAUUCUUUGCCAAAGCCACCCCAACCCCAUUCUCUGCGAGCAUUCCCUCCCCAGCUGCACCCUGCCCUCCCAACUCCUAGGAUAGUCCACGUGGCCCUAGUAGUGUAGAUGGAGCACAUUCCAGGGCUCCCUCAGAGGGAGGACAGAAACUUGUGGAGCAGGAGGCGUCCCUUAAAGGAGGCAGGCAGAGAGGUGGGCCCUCGUCCCGGGUCAGGAUCCUAGCAGGAAGCAGAUACACCUUAGCUUCUACUGGGGAGUUGCCAGGAAACGAUUGUGCGUCAGUCUGCACACUCCCAGUUGGUAGCUUCUGGAACAUGGAGUAGAGAAACCUGGAAAAACUGAACAAGUAGAGCAAUUGAUUUUGUUCACAC